AACGAACGCUGGCGGCAUGCCUAACACAUGCAAGUCGAACGAGACCUUCGGGUCUAGUGGCGAACGGUUGCGUAACGCGUGGGAACCUGCCCUUAGGUUCGGAAUAACUCCCCGAAAGGGGUGCUAAUACCGGAUAAUGUCUUCGGACCAAAGAUUUAUCGCCUUUGGAUGGGCCCGCGUUGGAUUAGCUAGUUGGUAGGGUAAAAGCCUACCAAGGCGACGAUCCAUAGCUGGUCUGAGAGGAUGAUCAGCCACACUGGGACUGAGACACGGCCCAGACUCCUACGGGAGGCAGCAGUGGGGAAUAUUAGACAAUGGGCGAGAGCCUGAUCUAGCAAUGCCGCGUGAGUGAUGAAGGCCUUAGGGUUGUAAAGCUCUUUUACCCGGGAUGAUAAUGACAGUACCGGGAGAAUAAGCACCGGCUAACUCCGUG
rnacentral:rRNA from 1 species